rnacentral:lncRNA from 1 species
ACAUAACCUAUAUAGAACAAUCUCGUUAGCUUAUUCAUUAUCAGUGACAGAUAUGAGUGCAGAAACCAGUGGAGAUGCAGAAAAGCAUACCAUGUCAGACCAUUAGAUAAGCAACUUAAGGUAACUGGAAACAUUUGAAACAUUACCGACACAAAUAGUAGGAAAUGUAAAAUAAAUAGGAGUGGUAGAAAGUUUAUUACUAAUCGAGACAUUGGG